UGGUGAUAGACAGUAGUAUCAAUAUCUGGUUGAGAGCAUUUGCCGGUUUAAAAAAUAGGUGAUUAUUUCUAAGCAUUUCCUGUUAUUAAGCUGCCAUAUUUUGGUCAUCUGCUUGUUGCUUUGGACGUGUAUUGCUGCUGGGUUCUUAUGAAAUCUGGACUAGUUCCCUUCUGCUGGAACUUGAGCUUAUCUUUGUUUUUCUGAAAUGGAAUGGUGCCUGUUCUGUUUCUCUGCUUGUGUUGAUUACUUAGUCAUGUUGAUUUUUGUAUGUUGAACGAGUUGCUGAUAUUUCCUCAUUCUUGCCGAUUUAUCUGUUUGUAACAUCUAUCUCUGAGUUUUAGUUUACCGAAAAAAGAAUAAUGAUGGUAAUGCAUUUGCAUAAGUGGUAUUUCAUUUUAUCUUGUAUGGUAAUCUUGAUGGGUGACUUUUGGGUUCAGUUUGUUCAUUGAUUCCUGGUCCCACUCAUCAUGAUAAGCAUUUCAUAUUGUACAGAUCAAAUUUUUGUUUUUCAUACACAUGUUACUUGCCUCAUGAAACAUCCAAGUUAUGUACACAUAUUUUUUGUGAUUUGAUCAUGAAACAUCCAAGUUAUGUACAACAAGGUGUUCAUCAUGCCAGGCUUCGCGGCGCUACUGCUUCCAUGUGACGGUGUUGUUUGGCAUUGGCUACAAAAACGGCCACGGUGAGGUCCUCUCGUUCCUCCACUCCCUGCCUCCGGUGGUUGCUCUGAGCUUGUUGUGUCCAUCGAGCCACGGCUAUGGUGAUCGAUUUGCGUUCAUGUUCAUUGUGCCAUUUCUAUGUCUGGUCAGGCUGCUAUAGUAUGUCCUUGCAUAAUGACGAUGCUACCGUUUCUUGUUUUGUUCCUUUGCUUGUUGGUCUAUCUGUUUGGUAAUUAUGAUGCUACCAUUGUUUGCUUCAGGGUGUAGUAUCACCACUACCUGCCUUCCUCCUUCCUGAAAUUGUGACAGUAUAUAAGUGGUUUGUGUACCAUGAUCUCAAUAUGGAGUGGUUUUUAUUUCCAAGGAUGCCUUCCUACUCCUGCUAGUUCUGAUGUCAUACAGUUUGACUAAAUCUAAACGAAUACGAAUCAGGUUCAUGGUUGAGCAUUUUGUUUUGAUGAUUCAACAUAAGAUCAGAUGUGACACUGAGUUCAGUCUCUCCUGCCUUGGUUUUCAGAUUCAUGAUUUUCUUUCACAAUUCAUGAUUUCCUUUCGCACGAAGCUUGCUUUAUGGUUGUCUAUGAAUUUUCGCUUGCUCUAUAUGUAUGAUAGCUUCUGUAUUUUGUUGUUGUUUGCUCAAAAUAUUAUGUCCGGCGAAGUAUUUAUUUCCAAGCUGGCAAUGCUUUAUAGGUGUCUUUGUUUACUAGAAUUGGAAGCUCGGUCUGCAUUUUGUAGAGGAAGCUUUUGUUUUUUUACAACUCACCGACAGGUCCUUGUUAGACAGCUGUGCAAUUUGAAGUAUUGUGUCGGCAUGCAUCUUUGUAUUUGUACUGUGUUGAUCAGAGAGAGAGACCUGACUCGGUGGUCCUUUGAUGUUACAGGAGAGCAUAUAUAUGUGAAGAAAAGAAAAGGCUGGGAGUCAUCGUUGUUACAAGAUGACGCUCAAGGGAAGAAAAUCUAUGCUGGAGAUGGGGGAGCAAGUUUGAUCUUGCAGAGGGUGAGAGGACGGACGGAUGGACCUUAUAGCGACUCUUGGUUGUAAUUGAGCUUGUUUUGUGUUCAACGCAGGCGCUGUUUGCUCCUCUUGAUUACCAUUCAGUUUCUGAAGAAGCACAAGACGCACGACGAGUCCAUGAAAAUUAGUAAUGGCCUGAGCUGUGCAAUCCAAGCUCAAAGCGACUUGAUCCAGUAGCUCCGCACUAGGAUACCGUGAUGUUUGCGGUCGUCUGCCAACAAGACUAGCGUAGCGCAAACUUGUGUGAUAAUUUGUUGGCCCUGUCUAUUGUUCUGCUGUACAUAAGUGAAUUCUCAAGCGAGAGUGAUAUGAAAUCUGAAUAGGUUUGAAAGUUGCACCUGCAAAUUAGUUGCAUAUUUCCAUGAACCUCUCUUAAAUGGGCGCCUGUGGAUUAUAGAGCAGGUCUAUUUGCAAGUUUGUCAAUCAAGAAAUGAGCCACAUCUCAAAUUGCAUAUGCUUAGUGUGUUGUGGCUGAUGAACUUUCAAAAUUCACAACUGGAAUCAGUCUAGACCUGUAGCUGUGUAGCAUUGCCGGUCUUAUGAUCUCAUCAUUUGUUACGUAUGGAUAUGGUACUAGAUGCAUGGCACGUUCAAAUCUAAUUGAAGUAUUACAUGCAUGGCCCGUUCAAUGCAAAAUCAUGUACAAUACAGGGAAAAUUGUCUUGGUUAAUUGCAUAAAGAGUCGGUCCAUAUUUUCAACAUUUUUAUAAAAAGAAACAUGUUGCUUGAGAAUUUGCGAUUUGUUUUCUGGCUGGUUCUUGAGUUGAAAUGAAAUGGGGAAAAAUGUAUUUGUGGAAUUGAAUUAUUAUUUGUUGAUGAUUUGAAAAAUAUGUGUUGAUUUA
rnacentral:lncRNA from 1 species